UACGGAAGAUCCAAGCGUUAUCCGGAAUUACUGGGCGUAAAGAGUUGCGUAGGUGGCAUAGUAAGCAAAUAGUGAAAUCGUGUGGCUCAACCACAUACCCAUUAUUUGAACUGCUGAGCUAGAGCAUGAGAGAGGUAGAUGGAAUUUCUAGUGUAGGAGUGAAAUCCGUAGAUAUUAGAAGGAACACCGAUGGCGUAGGCAGUCUACUGGCUCAUUGCUGACACUAAGGCACGAAAGCGUGGGGAGCGAACGGG
rnacentral:rRNA from 1 species